rnacentral:rRNA from 1 species
UACGGAGGGUGCAAGCGUUAUCCGGAUUCACUGGGUUUAAAGGGUGCGUAGGUGGGUCUGUAAGUCAGUGGUGAAAUCUCCGAGCUUAACUCGGAAACUGCCAUUGAUACUAUAGAUCUUGAAUUAUCUGGAGGUAAGCGGAAUAUGUCAUGUAGCGGUGAAAAUGCUUAGAUAUGACAUAGAACACCAAUUGCGAAGGCAGCUUACUACGGAUAUAUUGACACUGAGGCACGAAAGCGUGGGGAUCAAAACAGG